rnacentral:rRNA from 1 species
CUCGUAGGCGGUUCAGUAAGUCGGGUGUGAAAACUUUGGGCUUAACCCAAAGCGUGCAUCCGAUACUGCUGUGACUUGAGUUCGGUAGGGGAGCAGGGAAUUCCUAGUGUAGCGGUGAAAUGCGCAGAUAUUAGGAGGAACACCGGUGGCGAAGGCGCUGCUCUGGGCCGAAACUGACGCUGAGGAGCGAAAGCGUGGGUGCAAACA